AAGUCGUAACAAGGUUUCCGUAGGUGAACCUGCGGAAGGAUCAUUAACACGUUUUUUGGGACAUCCAAAAUCCCUUAUCCACCCCAUUUUGUACGAACGGAACCGGAUUUGGUUUUUUUUUUUUAAUGAAAAAAAGCCAAAACCAUUUUCUCCUCUUUAUCACCUCUAUUAUUUUUUUUACCCCAUAUACCAAAAAUGCGAUAGACUGAUAUCAAAUACGAUUUUGAUCAUCAUUGAUGUCAAAUGAUUGGAAAAACAACUCUUAGCAACGGAUAUCUUGGCUCUC
rnacentral:misc_RNA from 1 species